rnacentral:rRNA from 1 species
CACGAGAAAGGGGCUUCGGCUCCGAGUAAAGUGGCGGACGGGUGAGUAACACGUGGGUAAUCUGCCUUUCAGUGGGGGAUAACAGUCCGAAAGGAUUGCUAAUACCGCAUACGUCGGCGAGGUCUUCGGGCCUUGUCGGGAAAGCCGGCCUCUCCAUGGAAGCUGGCGCUGGAAGAGGAGCCCGCGGCCCAUCAGCUAGUUGGUAGGGUAAUGGCCUACCAAGGCAAAGACGGGUAGCUGGUCUGAGAGGAUGAUCAGCCACACUGGGACUGAGACACGGCCCAGACUCCUACGGGAGGCAGCAGUGGGGAAUAUUGGGCAAUGGGCGCAAGCCUGACCCAGCCACGCCGCGUGAGUGAUGAAGGCCUUCGGGUCGUAAAGCUCUGUGGGGAGGGACGAAAAAACAUUGGCUAAUAUCCAAUGGACUGACGGUACCUCCUUAGCAAGCACCGGCUAACUCCGUGCCAGCAGCCGCGGUAAUACGGAGGGUGCAAACGUUGCUCGGAAUCAUUGGGCGUAAAGCGCACGUAGGCGGUCGAGUAAGUCGGGUGUGAAAGCCCUCGGCUUAACCGAGGAAGUGCAUUCGAAACUACUUGGCUUGAAUACUGAAGAGGAUCGCGGAAUUCCCGGUGUAGAGGUGAAAUUCGUAGAUAUCGGGAGGAACACCAGUGGCGAAGGCGGCGAUCUGGGCAGAUAUUGACGCUGAUGUGCGAAAGCGUGGGGAGCAAACAGGAUUAGAUACCCUGGUAGUCCACGCCGUAAACGAUGAGUGCUAGUCGUCGCGGGUAUUGACCCCUGCGGCAACGAAGUUAACGCAUUAAGCACUCCGCCUGGGGAGUACGGCCGCA